rnacentral:rRNA from 1 species
AGUGAACGCUGGCGGUAGGCCUAACACAUGCAAGUCGAACGGCAGCACAGUAAGAGCUUGCUCUUACGGGUGGCGAGUGGCGGACGGGUGAGGAAUACAUCGGAAUCUACUUUUUCGUGGGGGAUAACGUAGGGAAACUUACGCUAAUACCGCAUACGACCUACGGGUGAAAGCAGGGGAUCUUCGGACCUUGCGCGAUUGAAUGAGCCGAUGUCGGAUUAGCUAGUUGGCGGGGUAAAGGCCCACCAAGGCGACGAUCCGUAGCUGGUCUGAGAGGAUGAGCAGGCCUGCGAGAGCUGACGGACAGAUUAGACCCGUACGGGAGGCAAGAGUGCUGAGUGAGGCAGAAGGGGGGAAUAUUGGACAAUGGGCGCACGCCUGAUGGAGGGACGCCGCGUGGUGGAUGAGGGCCUUCGGGGUGUAAGCACAUCUCGCUGGGGACGAAGCGCUUUGUUGCGGGUACUAGAUAAGAAGCACCGGGUUAACUCGGGG